rnacentral:rRNA from 1 species
AGAGUUUGAUCAUGGCUCAGAUUGAACGCUGGCGGCAGGCUUAACACAUGCAAGUCGAACGGUAACAGGAAUUAGCUUGCUAAUUUGCUGACGAGUGGCGGACGGGUGAGUAAUGCUUGGGAAUCUGGCUUAUGGAGGGGGAUAACUACGGGAAACUGUAGCUAAUACCGCGUAAAAUCUUCGGAUUAAAGGGUGGGACUUUCGAGCCACCUGCCAUAAGAUGAGCCCAAGUGGGAUUAGGUAGUUGGUUAGGUAAAGGCUGACCAAGCCGACGAUCUCUAGCUGGUCUGAGAGGAUGACCAGCCACACUGGAACUGAGACACGGUCCAGACUCCUACGGGAGGCAGCAGUGGGGAAUAUUGCACAAUGGGGGGAACCCUGAUGCAGCCAUGCCGCGUGAAUGAAGAAGGCCUUCGGGUUGUAAAGUUCUUUCGGUGACGAGGAAGGUUGAUAGGUUAAUAGCCUAUCAAAUUGACGUUAAUCACAGAAGAAGCACCGGCUAACUCCGUGCCAGCAGCCGCGGUAAUACGGAGGGUGCGAGCGUUAAUCGGAAUAACUGGGCGUAAAGGGCACGCAGGCGGUGACUUAAGUGAGAUGUGAAAGCCCCGAGCUUAACUUGGGAAUUGCAUUUCAUACUGGGUCGCUAGAGUACUUUAGGGAGGGGUAGAAUUCCACGUGUAGCGGUGAAAUGCGUAGAGAUGUGGAGGAAUACCGAAGGCGAAGGCAGCCCCUUGGGAAUGUACUGACGCUCAUGUGCGAAAGCGUGGGGAGCAAACAGGAUUAGAUACCCUGGUAGUCCACGCUGUAAACGAUGUCGAUUUGGGGAUUGGGCUUUGAGCUUGGUGCCCGUAGCUAACGUGAUAAAUCGACCGCCUGGGGAGUACGGCCGCAAGGUUAAAACUCAAAUGAAUUGACGGGGGCCCGCACAAGCGGUGGAGCAUGUGGUUUAAUUCGAUGCAAC